rnacentral:snoRNA from 1 species
UGCACUGCACGGUAUCUGCAGUUUCUUCCUGCUGGGUGUUCAAAGGACAGUGCAAUAUAAAUUCAGUAUGUGGCAUCAUUGAUUUUCUUGUCUUUGUGCACGUUAAACCUGGUAUUUUUAUUGGUACAGUA